GGUCAUUGCUGAGUGAAACAGAGGUUCUGAGAUGCCCCAAUGAACAGGAAGUCCCUGGUGUCUCCGGCAGAUUGAUGUACAUGAGUCCUGACAGGGAAGAAAAUAACAAUUCUAAUAACCCUGCAUUAUGGAGACUUGUCUGCCCCUCUCACUGUCCCUAUUGUCCCUCCACUCACAAGAUGGAGGAGUGCUCAGACUGCCAAGGAGGUGGCAUUCACUGGGGUCUACUGAGACACUGAGCAAGAUGAGUGAUUCAUUCCAGUGGAGAUGCCACCAAGCCCUGAAGGAGGCCACUUUUGAAGCAUUGUCUGAAAGAGCAGUUCUGGAGAUAAUGAUUUGGGGAUGUCUGCUUAUGUUGCCUCUCGGAGACACGACUGAAUUGAAUGCAUGUUUGCCGAUACCUGUUUUGCGCCAUUGAUCAUAUGUGUACAUGCACAACUCUUGAAGCCUGGCCGCACUUUUUAUGUAUGCAUUAUAUAUGCACAUUAGUAACACUGAGUGUGUUCUAUCCCCCUGUGUACUACUGGGCACUGAAGAAUGGCCCUCAGCUCUGCGUUUGAAAUCCUUUGCUCAUGAAGUAAGGCCAUUGGAUUGCUUUCAGCUAUGGACCACAAAUGUACAUAUCAGACAAGAACUGCAUUUUCUGUUUGAGGUUGGGGAGCAGAGCUUCAUAUGAAUCCCAAUGCAUUUCACUGUACAUAAACAAUCAUGGAUUCAAACUGAGCAUUGAGUAUAAUGGAAGCCUUU